GGGGUUGUAGCUCAGUGGUAGAGCACUUGCCUAGCAUGCUAGAGGCCCUAGGUUCGAUCCCAAGCACCACA
rnacentral:tRNA from 1 species